rnacentral:rRNA from 1 species
GCAGUCGAGCGGUAACAUUUCUAGCUUGCUAGAAGAUGACGAGCGGCGGACGGGUGAGUAAUGCUUGGGAAUAUGCCUUAUGGUGGGGGACAACAGUUGGAAACGACUGCUAAUACCGCAUAACGUCUACGGACCAAAGGGGGGGAUCUUCGGACCUCCCGCCAUUUGAUUAGCCCAAGUGAGAUUAGCUAGUUGGUAAGGUAAUGGCUUACCAAGGCGACGAUCUCUAGCUGGUUUGAGAGGAUGAUCAGCCACACUGGGACUGAGACACGGCCCAGACUCCUACGGGAGGCAGCAGUGGGGAAUAUUGCACAAUGGGCGAAAGCCUGAUGCAGCCAUGCCGCGUGUGUGAAGAAGGCCUUCGGGUUGUAAAGCACUUUCAGUAAGGAGGAAAGGGUAGUCGUUAAUAGCGGCUGUCUGUGACGUUACUUACAGAAGAAGCACCGGCUAACUUCGUGCCAGCAGCCGCGGUAAUACGAGGGGUGCAAGCGUUAAUCGGAAUUACUGGGCGUAAAGCGUUCGUAGGCGGUUGAAUAAGCAAGAUGUGAAAGCCCAGGGCUCAACCUUGGAACUGCAUUUUGAACUGUUCAACUAGAGUACUGUAGAGGGUGGUGGAAUUUCCAG